rnacentral:rRNA from 1 species
UACGGGGGGGGCAAGCGUUGUUCGGAAUUACUGGGCGUAAAGGGUUUGUAGGUGGCUUGUUAAGUCAGACGUGAAAUCCCUCAGCUUAACUGGGGAACUGCGUCUGAUACUGGCGAGCUUGAGUGCAGGAGAGGAACGCGGAAUUCCAGGUGUAGCGGUGAAAUGCGUAGAUAUCUGGAGGAACACUGGUGGCGAAGGCGGCGUUCUGGACUGCAACUGACACUGAGAAACGAAAGCCAGGGUAGCAAACGGG